AGAGUUUGAUCCUGGCUCAGGAUGAACGCUGGCGGCGUGCCUAAUACAUGCAAGUCGAGCGAACGGACGAGAAGCUUGCUUCUCUGAUGUUAGCGGCGGACGGGUGAGUAACACGUGGAUAACCUACCUAUAAGACUGGGAUAACUUCGGGAAACCGGAGCUAAUACCGGAUAAUAUUUUGAACCGCAUGGUUCAAAAGUGAAAGACGGUCUUGCUGUCACUUAUAGAUGGAUCCGCGCUGCAUUAGCUAGUUGGUAAGGUAACGGCUUACCAAGGCAACGAUGCAUAGCCGACCUGAGAGGGUGAUCGGCCACACUGGAACUGAGACACGGUCCAGACUCCUACGGGAGGCAGCAGUAGGGAAUCUUCCGCAAUGGGCGAAAGCCUGACGGAGCAACGCCGCGUGAGUGAUGAAGGUCUUCGGAUCGUAAAACUCUGUUAUUAGGGAAGAACAUAUGUGUAAGUAACUGUGCACAUCUUGACGGUACCUAAUCAGAAAGCCACGGCUAACUACGUGCCAGCAGCCGCGGUAAUACGUAGGUGGCAAGCGUUAUCCGGAAUUAUUGGGCGUAAAGCGCGCGUAGGCGGUUUUUUAAGUCUGAUGUGAAAGCCCACGGCUCAACCGUGGAGGGUCAUUGGAAACUGGAAAACUUGAGUGCAGAAGAGGAAAGUGGAAUUCCAUGUGUAGCGGUGAAAUGCGCAGAGAUAUGGAGGAACACCAGUGGCGAAGGCGACUUUCUGGUCUGUAACUGACGCUGAUGUGCGAAAGCGUGGGGAUCAAACAGGAUUAGAUACCCUGGUAGUCCACGCCGUAAACGAUGAGUGCUAAGUGUUAGGGGGUUUCCGCCCCUUAGUGCUGCAGCUAACGCAUUAAGCACUCCGCCUGGGGAGUACGACCGCAAGGUUGAAACUCAAAGGAAUUGACGGGGACCCGCACAAGCGGUGGAGCAUGUGGUUUAAUUCGAAGCAACGCGAAGAACCUUACCAAAUCUUGACAUCCUUUGACAACUCUAGAGAUAGAGCCUUCCCCUUCGGGGGACAAAAUGACAGGUGGUGCAUGGUUGUCGUCAGCUCGUGUCGUGAGAUGUUGGGUUAAGUCCCGCAACGAGCGCAACCCUUAAGCUUAGUUGCCAUCAUUAAGUUGGGCACUCUAAGUUGACUGCCGGUGACAAACCGGAGGAAGGUGGGGAUGACGUCAAAUCAUCAUGCCCCUUAUGAUUUGGGCUACACACGUGCUACAAUGGACAAUACAAAGGGCAGCGAAACCGCGAGGUCAAGCAAAUCCCAUAAAGUUGUUCUCAGUUCGGAUUGUAGUCUGCAACUCGACUACAUGAAGCUGGAAUCGCUAGUAAUCGUAGAUCAGCAUGCUACGGUGAAUACGUUCCCGGGUCUUGUACACACCGCCCGUCACACCACGAGAGUUUGUAACACCCGAAGCCGGUGGAGUAACCUUUUAGGAGCUAGCCGUCGAAGGUGGGACAAAUGAUUGGGGUGAAGUCGUAACAAGGUAGCCGUAUCGGAAGGUGCGGCUGGAUCACCU
rnacentral:rRNA from 1 species